rnacentral:tRNA from 1 species
CCGCCCUUAGCUCAGCUGGAUAGAGCGCAGCCCUCCGGAGGCUGAGGCCGCAGGUUCGACUCCUGCAGGGCGGGCCA